UAUGAGUAGCGAAAGACAGGUGAGAAUCCUGUCCACCGUAUGACUAAGGUUUCCUGGGGAAGGCUCGUCCGCCCAGGGUUAGUCGGGACCUAAGCCGAGGCCGAUAGGCGUAGGCGAUGGACAACAGGUUGAUAUUCCUGUACCAGUUGUUUUUGUUUGAGCAAUGGAGGGACGCAGUAGGCUAAGGAAUGCAUGCGAUUGGAAGUGCAUGUCCAAGCAAUGAGUCUUGAGUAGAGUUAAAUGCUUUACUCUCUAAGGACAAGUUGUGACGGGGAGCGAAAUAAUAGUAGCGAAGUUCCUGAUGUCACACUGCCAAGAAAAGCUUCUAGUGAGAAAACAACUGCCCGU
rnacentral:rRNA from 1 species